AAAAAGACAAACCCUGGGCUUGCGUGUCCAACUUUGACUGUCCGUCUUAUAUGGAUUUUUUUUAUAAUUCGUAUUUUUAUUGUUGUUAGAUGAUAAAACAUAAUUAAUAAUUUGUGCGUGACUUGUCUUUUUUAAUUUUUUUCAUAAUUUUUUCAAAUAAGACGAACGGUCAAACAUUGGGCACGGAAACCAGGGUUUGUCUUUUU
rfam:Oryza sativa Japonica Group DNA, chromosome 6, cultivar: Nipponbare, complete sequence.